rnacentral:sRNA from 1 species
GUAUUUCCGCCGGCGCGAAACGAGCGUAGCUUCCUUGUCGUGUGGCCUCAGUCCUUCGCCGUCCCUCGCCGUCCUUCGCCAUCGCACGCCACCGCACCCCAUCUCUCGAAAUCUGCAGACAUCUUGAUUUUUCCCACGCUGUCUGUCAGGUCUCCGCCGCCACUCGACGCCAGGGCGCCGGGCCUUGUGGGCUGUGCUGCACCUCGGACGGCUUCGCACCAGCCAGCGCCCUCUCUCUCCUGCAGCACUCUGAUCUGCACCCCCUGAGGGGCUUCCACUGUCCGCGGGGUGAGAAUGCCCCUGGGAGUGUCACAUGACUGCCGCCCCAUGUGUGUGAGAGGCGUCCUCUGGGAGAGCAUGGAUCCUGAGGUCCCAGGAUUGUCAGCUGACCUCUGUCCUGUGUGCCCAGUGGCCCCAGGUGACGUGUCUUCAAGAAGAGGCUGAGCUGCGGUGCUUGUAAGGCAGGGUCUCAUUCUGUCACCCAGGCUGGAGUGCAGUGGUGCAAUGAUGGCUCACUGCAGCCUCGACCUGGGCUCAAGUGAUCCUCCACCUCAGCUUCCUGAGUAGCUGGGACCACAGGUCUCAGCCUUAGAUCCAAGGACAGUCCAAGGAAGUCCUAAGACCAUGGAGUUGGUGAUCUGGGAUCUGGGUUUGCUGAUAUUUCUCACCGUGAAUCUCUUGGUGGUGUUUGUGGGCACGAGAGGGGCAGAGAAUGGAGAGUGAGGCUACCACAUGAAGCGUCACCAGAGCUGCUCCCUGCUGCCUGCUCAGAGCACCCCGGAUCCACUGUUCAAUCUGCACAAGAUUCGGGGUCCAGACAUGGGAGACUUCAGCUGCCUCAGAGGACCGUGGACAGGGAAGGCCAGCCUCGCAUCCCUCUGUCCAUGCCUGGAAUGACUUUAAUAACCAAGAGUUUUAUUUUUGAAUUUGUAGCUGUCGUUCACUUUUUACCCACCCAUUCAAUAAACCUUACAGAAUUGCUCCAAAAAAAAAAAAAAAAAA